GCAACGUUCAAAAAUGUAAACGCAAGAGGAGCAAAACGGUGGGACUCUUCUGUGUACAAGCUACAGGAACAGCGCGUGAGGCAGUGCAGCGCCAUCCAGCCGUGAAGCCAUUUGGCGGUGAGGAGGAAGAGAGGGCCAGCUGAAGCAGACGUGAUGAAGUGACGUUCGACUGAUGUUUCCUGAAAGUGGCAACACGUGUCCCUCUUACCCGGCUGCUGCAGUCCUCUCGUCUACAGAUGUGUCGCUUGAUGUACCCAUCGAAUGGCACACUGCCACUUAAUAAAAUAUCGCUCUUGCUUUGACAGCGAAGCCUUAAUUGAGUCCCUCGUCAGUUUUAUCAAACUGUGUGUUAUCGUCGUUUGAAACUUGUUUCCCCUUUUCCCUCUCUCUUAUGGAAUAUGCUAGCAGUUGAAUCCUCAGUAACCGAAAGAGAAGGGGGUGCGGUGUUGAGAAAAAGAAAAAGGCGAAAGAGAACAACACUGGGAAUGAAAGGGAAGUAAAGAACAGGAGUAAAAGUGAGAGAGCGGAGGAGAAAUAGCCAAGAGAGUCUUGUCAUUGGAUUCAUAAUUCAGGUUCAUGAUUUUAAUUUCCCUCUGUUCUUAUCAAAGGCCGGUGGAGCAGCAGGGGGAAGGCUGGUAGUUAGCUGGAUAACUGCAUAUGAGAUGAGCUGCCGCGCUCCCAUCACAAUGCCUGGACGACAUAAUAGGGAUGGAAAUGUGCCGAGAUGAACAGUCUCCAGUCACUCACAGCGACUACAAAAACCCACAAUCAUCCGUUGUUUACACAAACCCUUUUUUGACAUCUUCUCCCUUUUUUCCUCAGAAGCCAUAAGCAAUCUCUCGCCCCCUAAAGUAUAUUCAAUCACACACACAGAAGGAGUGUGUGCCUGUGUUAAGCCCCCCACAAAAGUACUGCAGAUGAAUAAUGAAUUUUGACUGUGUUUGGAGGAAGUCUUUUGAUUUGAUAUUAUUCUCUCGUCUAUAAAAAAAAGCUGUUCUAUCAAAGUGUAUAUGUUUACUGCAAUGUACGAACACUGUCACUAACUAAUACAUCAUUUUAGGUUUGUAGGCAGCUUUUAAAUGCAAUAUGUUUGCUUAGAACAGUUUGAAUUGAUCAUAAAAGGACCUCAAAAUAAGUAUAGUAUAAAUUACUAAUAAUAAUAAGAGUAAUAUAAUACUAAAGGGUAAAAACGAAUAUGGCCACUGCGUUGUGUGUUGCACAAACUAGAGGGUACUGUAUCAACCCCGACUCAGAAGC